rnacentral:rRNA from 1 species
GUCCACUGCCCGCCUGCUACCAUGCAGUCGAACGGUAAGGCCCCUUCGGGGGUACACGAGUGGCGAACGGGUGAGUAACACGUGAGCAACCUGCCCUUGACUCUGGGAUAACAGUUGGAAACAGCUGCUAAUACCGGAUAUGACCCUUGAUGACAUCAUCUGGGGUGGAAAGCGUUUAGCGGUCAAGGAUGGGCUCGCGGCCUAUCAGCUUGUUGGUGAGGUAACGGCUCACCAAGGCUUCGACGGGUAGCCGGACUGAGAGGGCGACCGGCCACACUGGGACUGAGAUACGGCCCAGACUCCUACGGGAGGCAGCAGUGGGGAAUAUUGCACAAUGGGCGCAAGCCUGAUGCAGCAACGCCGCGUGCGGGAUGACGGCCUUCGGGUUGUAAACCGCUUUCAGUUCCGACGAAGCGCAAGUGACGGUAGGAACAGAAGAAGGACCGGCCAACUACGUGCCAGCAGCCGCGGUGAUACGUAGGGUCCGAGCGUUGUCCGGAAUUAUUGGGCGUAAAGGGCUUGUAGGCGGUUUGCUGCGUCGGAAGUGAAAACUCAGGGCUUAACCCUGAGCCUGCUUCCGAUACGGGCAAACUAGAGGGAUGCAGGGGAGAAUGGAAUUCCUGGUGGAGCGGUGGAAUGCGCAGAUAUCAGGAGGAACACCGGUGGCGAAGGCGGUUCUCUGGGCAUUUCCUGACGCUGAGAAGCGAAAGCGUGGGGAGCAAACAGGCUUAGAUACCCUGGUAGUCCACGCCGUAAACGGUGGGCACUAGGUGUGGGGAACAUUCCACGUUCUCCGUGCCGAAGCUAACGCAUUAAGUGCCCCGCCUGGGGAGUACGGCCGCAAGGCUAAAACUCAAAGGAAUUGACGGGGGCCCGCACAAGCGGCGGAGCAUGCGGAUUAAUUCGAUGCAACGCGAAGAACCCUUACCUGGGUUUGACAUAUACCGGAAAGCUGCAGAGAUGUAGCCCCCGCAAGGUCGGUAUACAGGUGGUGCAUGGCUGUCGUCA